rnacentral:rRNA from 1 species
AGAGUUUGAUCCUGGCUCAGGACGAACGCUGGCGGCACGCUUAACACAUGCAAGUCGAACGAGAGAAGAGGAGCUUGCUUUUCUGAUCUAGUGGCGGACGGGUGAGUAACACGUGAGCAAUCUGCCUUUCAGAGGGGGAUACCGAUUGGAAACGAUCGUUAAUACCGCAUAACAUAAUUGAACCGCAUGAUUUGAUUAUCAAAGAUUUAUCGCUGAAAGAUGAGCUCGCGUCUGAUUAGCUAGUUGGUAAGGUAACGGCUUACCAAGGCGACGAUCAGUAGCCGGACUGAGAGGUUGAUCGGCCACAUUGGGACUGAGACACGGCCCAGACUCCUACGGGAGGCAGCAGUGGGGAAUAUUGCACAAUGGAGGAAACUCUGAUGCAGCGAUGCCGCGUGAGGGAAGAAGGUUUUAGGAUUGUAAACCUCUGUCUUCAGGGACGAAAAAAGACGGUACCUGAGGAGGAAGCUCCGGCUAACUACGUGCCAGCAGCCGCGGUAAUACGUAGGGAGCGAGCGUUGUCCGGAAUUACUGGGUAUAAAGGGAGCGUAGGCGGGAUCGCAAGUCAGAUGUGAAAACUAUGGGCUUAACCCAUAAACUGCAUUUGAAACUGUGGUUCUUGAGUGAAGUAGAGGUAAGCGGAAUUCCUAGUGUAGCGGUGAAAUGCGUAGAUAUUAGGAGGAACAUCAGUGGCGAAGGCGGCUUACUGGGCUUUAACUGACGCUGAGGCUCGAAAGCGUGGGGAGCAAACAGGAUUAGAUACCCUGGUAGUCCACGCCGUAAACGAUGAUUACUAGGUGUGGGGGGACUGACCCCUUCCGUGCCGCAGCAAACGCAAUAAGUAAUCCACCUGGGGAGUACGACCGCAAGGUUGAAACUCAAAGGAAUUGACGGGGGCCCGCACAAGCAGUGGAGUAUGUGGAUUAAUUCGAAGCAACGCGAAGAACCUUACCAGGUCUUGACAUCGUAUGCAUAGCUCAGAGAUGAGUGAAAUCUCUUCGGAGACAUAUAGACAGGUGGUGCAUGGUUGUCGUCAGCUCGUGUCGUGAGAUGUUGGGUUAAGUCCCGCAACGAGCGCAACCCUUACUGUUAGUUGCUACGCAAGAGCACUCUAGCAGGACUGCCGUUGACAAAACGGAGGAAGGUGGGGAUGACGUCAAAUCAUCAUGCCCCUUAUGACCUGGGCCUCACACGUACUACAAUGGCUGUCAACAGAGGGAAGCAAAGCCGCGAGGUGGAGCGAACCCCUAAAAGCAGUCUUAGUUCGGAUUGUAGGCUGCAACCCGCCUACAUGAAGUCGGAAUUGCUAGUAAUCGCAGAUCAGCAUGCUGCGGUGAAUACGUUCCCGGGCCUUGUACACACCGCCCGUCACGCCAUGGGAGUCGGUAACACCCGAAGCCUGUAGUCUAACCGCAAGGAGGACGCAGUCGAAGGUGGGAUUGAUGACUGGGGUGAAGUCGAAACAAGGUA